AUGUCAUCUCUUCUCUUCCGACUUGGGCGAUCCUUGUGGAAUUUCGUCAAGCAAAAAAUACUGCACCCAGCGACGAAGCCUCGUCGACGCAAUCUUCCCGUCCUUCGCGGCGACUUCAGGAGGCCGGCGCUCAACUGCCCCAGGUACAUCAUCUCCACGGUCUGCGAAUUCGCUCUCUUGAUCUGGCUGUUCGGGACGGCGUACUGCUACCUGACCUACGACCUGCCACGCGAGUUCUCCGUCCACUUGACGCCGAUCCCGAGCAACGCCAGCGCGGGGGCUCCGGCCGCGGCGACGUCCGUCCCCCGGGCCUUCGACGUCGUCCUGCACGCCGGCAACCGCCGCACCGCGGAGAGGUGCUACCACCACGGGGAGGGGGCGGUGACGUACGGCGGCUUCACCGUCGCGCCGGGCCGCGCGCCCGACUUCUGCGUGCCGUGGAAGGGGGCGCGCGAGGUGCCGUUCAGGCUGUCGUGGGACUGGAACGACGGCGUUGGUCUGCCGGAGAACCUGCGUGGCCGCAUCGCGGCGGCGGAGAAGGUCGGCGCCGUGGAGGUCGAGGUCCAGGUGCGGCUCCUCCGGGGAGGCGACGCCCGCUCCGGCACGGGCACGCCGACGUGGAUGUGGUGCAAGGCGGGGACGGGUGGAGCGCCUGGAGCCGUCACCCCCUGCACCGUGUUCGCUCCGCAGAACUGGUUUUCGCCCCUGGCCUAG
rnacentral:rRNA from 1 species